AUAGUAAAUCCGUCACUAUUAUCACCAAAAUUCAGUGGUGGAUUGUUGCAAUUUUGGAGUCACAUAAUCCCCUUCUUCUUGCGAACAAUCCUAAAUUGAUUUUUUCAUUAUAUCUGUAACCAUUUCUUCUACAUCUUAGAUCUUAUUUUCGAUCUACAGUAACCUCAUCAAUUUCCAUAUUUCCAGCUCAAUUCCUAUCCGAUUUCAUGGAAGGAAUGUUUUGUGUUUGAGUUCUGAGUAUUGAAUCUAAUGGAAGCGUCGUCCUCUCCCCAGCCUUGUGCUGUGGGAGAGGCUUCUAAAAUCAUCUCAGAAAAUCAAACUGGACAUAGAUUCAAACAGUCAUAUGCGUCGCUUUUUGCUGGACAGCAAACUGCCGAAACAAAAUCAAAGCUGGAGCUCUGUCCAGUUUCGUUCGAUCAAGGUUUGCCGGCUGGACAGCAAACUGCCGAGACAAAAUCAAAGCUAGAGCUCUGUCCAGUUUCGUUCAAGCAAGGAUUGCCGAUAGUUGAGUUUACAGUGGAUGAAAUAAAUUCAUUCACAGUAAAUUCAUUUACUGUGACCACUAGACAUGAAUGGCUAAUGGUGUUGGUGCUUUAAUUUUAUCAUCUUUGUAUAUGAAUAAAUAAUGGUAUCGGCACUUUAGUUUUACCAUAUAUUCACUGGAUUUAUAAUGAUUAAUGGAGUUUGUAAGAAAUUGUAACCACAUGAAGUGGUAAAAUCUCUAUGUCCUGCCAUGAUUAAAUUCAUGUAUGAUUGUGGGCAAAGAAUUAAAAAGAUCUUGCCAUUUAUGACAGAUUGCAAAAGAAUGAAGCUAUAAUUUGUAUUCUCUUUCUUUUAGUGGCAACUGUAUUGAACUAACACGUAAGUCUUUUCACA
rnacentral:lncRNA from 1 species